GAGAUUCGGCUAUUAGAUGCUGAGUAAGUGUUGAAAAUGGUUUUGCUUUGUUAUUUUUAGAACAUAUUAACAUGCUUUUUUGCACAUUGUGGGGAGAUGUUGUUGACUCCUAUCUUCAACAACCGGAAAGAAUUAAAGGAAAAAUGCCUAUUAUUAUUGUCCAAUUUUGCAAGCCAACUUUGUUUUGCGGCACGAUUCGUGUGAGUACGCACUUUAAUACAUCUAGGGUUUACAUCAACCAAGAUAUGGUUGAGAUUUCCAGUUUCAAAGAGAGGAUUUCCGGUGAUGCCGCUUUUUUGUCUCAAGAAGCAAUUUUUCGUUUUAAUGAUGCAAGGGUUUCUAAUGAAUUUGAUGACUUGGUCGUAAAGACCCUUGCAGAUGUACAAGAAGAUGUGGUCAUUUUUUCCCCUUUCUAUUUGCUAUUUUUGAUUCUUUAUAUAUUACUUUUAUUUCACUUAAAAUUAAAUAUUGUAUUCUAUAGGAUGGUUCUUACUGGAUUUGUUGUAGAAUUGAAAAUGUUGAGUAUCACUAUAGACAAUGGUCAUACAUGGCAUGUAAACAAUGUGUCAAAAAGGUUGUGAAGCUUGAGAAUGGGUUCACCUGUGAUAAAUGCGAUAAUUCUGAUGGGAUUGUCGUUCCGAGGUUUAGUAUUUCCCAUUGCUUAUCAUCAUUUAUAUUUGUUUCCGCAUUUGACCUGUCUACUUGCUUUCGUUUUGCAAGUUCCAGUUCAUUGUGAACGUUGUUGACGGUAGUAGCAAUGCCUCAUUGCUAUUAUGGGAUCGAGAAUGUGUCCAACUAUUGGGGAAAAAAGUUGAUGAAAUUCGACUUGGCCAUGAAGAGCUUGGAGCUGAUGAAUAUAUUCCUCCUGAGAUUGAAGAAAAGCUCUUGGGGCAAACUUUACUUUUUAGAAUCAAUGUGAAAAAAAUACUGAGUAUUGGAUUGAUAAUCCAUACACUGUGAAUAAAAUUUGCAAUGACCCUCAAAUCGUCGAGAAGUAUGCCCUUCCAACUUUGGACUCAAGGAGUUCAGAUUCACGAUUGGAAAUUUCUCCCACUUUGGAAGGGGCUUCUCCGUUUGCUGGAAAGGGUGUUGUUCUCCAUGGCUCUACCUCUGGUACCAACGACACUCGUACUAAAUUGAUUGCUAAAGAUUCAUGGAAAAGAAUUUUGGAUGUUGAAAUUUUAGGAGAAACGACGGUCGUUGUUGGUGAGCAGAAGAAAUUAAUGAUCAAACAGGAGAAGAAUUAGUUUAUAGAAAGUUAUUUUCAUUAGCUGAACUCCCAUGGAUCUGUUUUUUAUUAUGCUUUUUGGUAUUAGCUAUUGUUUUUCCAAUUAUUAGGUUGGCAUCAUUGCUUUAUGUGAUGGGCAAUGAGCAUUUGUUAUGUGCAUUUCUAUAUUAUUA